rnacentral:lncRNA from 1 species
UAUUUUAUUUAUUUUGUUUUUUUUUUUGUUUUUUUUUUUUCACUCACCUUGCUUGAGGUCUGCUGUUGCCUCACCCUUGUAGUCUAAUUCAUACAUUCAAUGAAUGAAACAGGUAGCGUGCUACUUUUAUCUCAAAAGAAAUAUAUACACUAUAGUCCAAAUACUAAAAUUGCUUCUGGAUUAUCUUAUUUUGUCACUACAACAAAAACGGUCUAUAGCGACACUUUUAAAUGUAGGUACAUGUCAAAAAAGUGCUGCUAACUAAAAUUACCGACACUUUUAAAAAGUGUUACUAUAUGUGGGGUCGCUAGGUAUAUAGUGACAGUUAAAGAGUGUCGCUAUAACCUAAAAGAGUGCUGCUAAUUUACCAACACUUAUUUGAGCAUUUAGCAACCGCCGAAAUUCUAUCUCGUUGGCUGCGGUGGCGGAGCUCUUCGUCUAGAAUUUCAGUGGAUUGAGUAUACGGAACUCUAAUCAAACUUGACCGUAACAAUUUUAAAAAUUUGAAUAAAAAAUUAUAAUAAAUUAAAAUUUAAAAACCAA